UGUGUAUAGUUUUGGAGUUGUUCUAAUGGAAUUGAUUACUGGAAAGAAGCCAGUGGAGCCAGAAUUUGGAGACAACAAGAACAUUGUUUAUUGGGUAUCAACAAAAGUGGAGACUAAAGAAGGUGCAUUUGAAGUAUUGGAUAAAAAAGUCUCAGAUUCUUUCAAAGAGGACAUGAUUAAGGUUCUACGUAUAGCUAUACGUUGUACGUAUAGUACACCAACA
rnacentral:misc_RNA from 1 species